CUCUGCCUACUAGAGGCACCAGCUUCCUGGCUGCCUGCCUGUUAAACUGAGUCUGUGUCUCUUUGUCAUUCAUUCUUGUUUGCUUCCGGGUCAGCGAGAACAAAGUCGUGGGUUUAGGUCCCCCACAUGUGGUGCCUGGUUCACGUAAUCAACACUGAAGUCAAAAUACAGAACUGUUCUCCCAGAAGGCUCUACCUUGCUAUGUCUUCAUAGCCAAUCCACUCGUCUCCCAUUUCUAACCCAUGACAACCAGUAACCUGUUUCCUAUCUCCAUCAUUUCCCUUCAAGUGAUGGACUGUAUCCUGCAGGAGGAAGAGUCUUCAUUCUAAUCACAAAAGCCGCAGUCAGCUUGUCAGAUUACACACCUUGCUUGUAAACAGGAGCAUUUCCUGGGGCAGCCCUCAAAGUCACCAUGUAAUUGAGGAAGCCACAAGAAAUAAUACUGUCCCGGGAAGAAAAUACUGGCAAAGAGAAUGAAAGAAGAGAACAACCCAGAGAAGAGAGCAUCUUACUGUUGCUUAACCUGUAAUGGAACAGCUAGAGUAGGAAGAUAGGGUUGACAGACUCAAGUGAGCAGGGAGCUCUGCCUGGCUGCACCAGUGCCCUCCAUGUCCCUUUGGGUGGCUCCGCCAAUGCCUGCCUGUCUGCUGCUGCUGCCCUUGUGGUACCCUACAUGCCUGUGUCCCUUCAUCUCUGUCCUCAUGGGGCCCAACAGCUUCUACCUCCUGUUGCCUUCCAGUCUUCCAGAGCCCCCCACCCCUGCCCUGAAUUGUGCUACAAGGGACUGUGGGAAAACAAGCCUCAGGCUCGUGGGCUGUCUGCCUUGGGGAGAGCAGAGAAACAUCGCAGAGUGACAGUACCACCAUCAGUACCAAAAUGCGACUUCACUGUCACCUGACUGCUUUCUGGUGUCAUUUUUGUGGCACUGUUAUGAUGUUAGUGCAUUCAUGUACAGAGCUAGGCAUCAUCUGCUGCAGUGGGGAAGGAAGAAUAGGAAAAAGUAUAGGAGUCUUGUUCACCUCUCUCCCCAGCACCUGUCACGGUAUUCCACAGACAACAGACAUUCAAUAAAUAUUGGCGUCUUAGUAUGUGUUUCUCCUGUAGAGAGUUCCUAGUGUCCCUCAGAUGUCUCAGUCUCCAUGCUACUAGAGACUAUAUAAAUGAAUUGUAUGUUCCCUUUGGAGGAUAAUUUGUUAAGCUACAUCAAAGCCUGGAGAAUGUACAUAUUGUAUGGCCAGCAAUUUCUAGGAAUUUAUUAUAAAGGAAUAAUAGAACUAAUAUAUAAAAUGGCAUGUUUACAAUAUAGAAAAAUGUAAAUGUCCUUUCAUAGGAAAUGUGUUUGGUAUAUUUCUAGAAUGGGAUAUUAUGCAGUGAUUAAAAAUGAUGGUGAAUUUGA